rnacentral:rRNA from 1 species
CACCAGCGCCACGAGUGGGAGCCGCGAUUAUUGGGCCUAAAGCGUCCGUAGCCGGACUGCUACAUCUUUUGUGAAAUGGUUCCGCCUAACGGAACCACGUGCAGAAAACACGGGCAGACUCGGGACUGGGAGGAGUCAGAGGAAUUCCCUGGGGAGCGGUAAAAUGCGAUAAUCCUCGGAAGACCACCUGUGGCGAAGGCGUCUGACUAGAACAGAUCCGACGGUGAGGGACGAAAGCCAGGGGAGCGAACCGGAUUAGAUACCCGAGUAGUCCUGGCCGUAAACGUUGCGAGCAAGGUGUUGCGCAUUCUCCAAGAUUGCGCAGUGUCGAAACGAAGGUGUUAAGCUCGCCGCCUGGGAAGUAUGGUCGCAAGGCUGAAACUUAAAGGAAUUGGCGGGGGAGCACCACAAGGGGUGCGGCGUGCGGUUUAAUCUAACUCAACGCAGAGAAUCUCACCAGGAACGACGGCAGGAUGAAAGUCAGCCUGAAGGGCUUACUUGACGAGCCGAGAGGUAGUGCAUGGCCGUCGUCAGCUCGUGCCGUGAGGUGUCCUCUUAAGUGAGGCAACGAGCGAGACCUGUACCUACAGUUGCUACCGAGCUCAGCGAUUGGGCACACUGUAGGGACUGCCUCGGAAACGAGGAGGAAGGUCGCAGGGUACGGUAGGUCUGUAUGCUCCGAAUUCCCUGGGCUACACGCGCGCAACAAUGGUAGGGACAAUGGGACGCGACUCCGAAAGGAGGAGCUCGACCUCAAAACCCUAUCCAAGCCUAGAUCGAGGGCUGUAACUCGCCCUCGUGACAACGGAAUCCCUAGUAAUCGGAGGUCAUCAUCCUCCAGUGAAUAUGUCCCUGCUCCU